rnacentral:rRNA from 1 species
CCCUUAGAUGUUCUGGGCCGCACACGCGCUACACUGAAGGAGGCAGCGUGUACUCCUGGAUCGAAAGAUUUGGGUAACCCGCGAAUCUCCUUCGUGCUAGGGAUUGAGGUUUGCAAUUAUCCUUCAUGAACGAGGAAUUCCCAGUAAGUGCAAGUCAUAAGCUUGCGCUGACUACGUCCCUGCCCUUUGUACACACCGCCCGUCGCUACUAUCGAUUGAAUGAUUUAGUGAGGACUUCGGACUGGGACCGAUGCGGCUUUCGGGCUGCGUCGGUAUUCUGGAAAGAUGUCCAAACUGUAUCAUUUAGAGGAAGUAAAAGUCGUANCA